UAGUCCACGCCGUAAACGAUGUGUGCUAGAUGUCGGGUCCAUAGGAUUCGGUGUCGCAGCUAACGCACUAAGCACACCGCCUGGGGAGUACGGUCGCAAGAUUAAAACUCAAAGGAAUUGACGGGGACCCGCACAAGCGGUGGAGCAUGUUCUUUAAUUCGAAGCAACGCGAAGAACCUUACCUACACUUGACAUACUCGUCGGGAUUUCCAGAGAUGGAUUUCUUCGGUUCGGCCGGACGAGAUACAGGUGCUGCACGGCUGUCGUCAGCUCGUGUCGUGAGAUGUUUGGUUAAGUCCAGCAACGAGCGCAACCCCUAUCGUAUGUUGCCAGCAUUCAGUUGGGCACUCAUGCGAGACUGCCGGUGACAAACCGGAGGAAGGUAAGGAUGACGUCAAGUCAGCAUGCCCCUUACGCUCUGGGCUACACACGUGCUACAAUGGUCGUGACAAGAGUUGCUAGUCUGCGAAGGCAAGCCAAUCUA
rnacentral:rRNA from 1 species